UACGAAGGGGGCUAGCGUUGUUCGGAAUUACUGGGCGUAAAGCGCACGUAGGCGGAUAUUUAAGUCAGGGGUGAAAUCCCGGGGCUCAACCCCGGAACUGCCUUUGAUACUGGGUAUCUCGAGUCCGAGAGAGGUGAGUGGAAUUCCGAGUGUAGAGGUGAAAUUCGUAGAUAUUCGGAGGAACACCAGUGGCGAAGGCGGCUCACUGGCUCGGUACCGACGCUGAGGUGCGAAAGCGUGGGGAGCAAACAGG
rnacentral:rRNA from 1 species